rnacentral:rRNA from 1 species
CCUACGGGGGGCUGCAGUGGGGAAUAUUGGACAAUGGGCGAAAGCCUGAUCCAGCCAUGCCGCGUGUGUGAAGAAGGCCUUCGGGUUGUAAAGCACUUUCAGUGGGGAAGAAAGCCUUGGGGCUAAUACCCUCGAGGAAGGACAUCACCCACAGAAGAAGCACCGGCUAACUCCGUGCCAGCAGCCGCGGUAAUACGGAGGGUGUGAGCGUUAAUCGGAAUUACUGGGCGUAAAGCGCGCGUAGGCGGUCUGAUAAGCCGGUUGUGAAAGCCCCGGGCUCAACCUGGGAACGGCAUCCGGAACUGUCAGGCUAGAGUGCAGGAGAGGAAGGUAGAAUUCCCGGUGUAGCGGUGAAAUGCGUAGAGAUCGGGAGGAAUACCAGUGGCGAAGGCGGCCUUCUGGACUGAUACUGACGCUGAGGUGCGAAAGCGUGGGUAGCAAACAGGAUUAGAUACCCGAGUAGUC